rnacentral:lncRNA from 1 species
UUAAUGUUUUAGUUUUUUGAAUUGGUAUUAGAGAAUAUUAGAGAAAGUAUUGCGGUUUAACUUACGUUGAAGAAGUUCUGAUUAACUUUUCUCUUAAAACGAAAAAGAAUGGCAACAAAAUACAACUUCCAAAAAUUAUGCAUUUUUGGUUUUGCUAUAAGUAUAUGUACUUCAUACGAUCCUUGCAGAUACAAAGGUUGUUCUCAUUCUUGCAGUGUAUAUUAUGGUAUCAUAGCAGACUGUUUAUGUCCUUCAGGAUACAUUUUGCAACCAGAUGGAAAAACAUGUUUAAUUGAUCCAUGUUAUUUUAAAGGCUGUUACCUUCAAAAUUACUGCAGUUUAGUGGCAGGGUACGCAGUUUGCUCAUGUCCAUCAGGGUACCAAUUACUAUCGGAUAACAUAACGUGUU